GAAUUGUGGCCAAUGGGGGGAACCCUGAUCCAGCCAUCCCGCGUGUGUGAUGAAGGCCUUCGGGUUGUCCAGAACUUUUGACAGGGACGAAACAACACCGGCUAAUACACGGUGCCAAUGACGGUACCUGUAGAAUAAGCACCGUCUAACUCCGUGCCAGCAGCCGCGGUAAUACGUAGGGUGCAAGCGUUAAUCGGAAUUACUGGGCGUAAAGGGUACGCAGGCGGCUAGGAAAGAAGGAUGUGAAAUCCCAGGGCUCAACCUUGGAACUGCAUUCUUAACUGCCUAGCUAGAGUAUGUCAGAGGGGGGUAGAAUUCCACGUGUAGCAGUGAAAUGCGUAGAUAUGUGGAGGAAUACCGAUGGCGAAGGCAGCCCCCUGGGAUAAUACUGACGCUCAGGUACGAAAGCGUGGGGAGCAAACA
rnacentral:rRNA from 1 species